rnacentral:pre_miRNA from 1 species
CUACUACUCCCUCCGUACGAAAAUACUUGUCAUUGAAAUGGAUGUAUCUAGAUGUAUUUUAGUUCUAGACACAUCCAUUUUGAUGACAAGUAAUUCCAGACGGAGGGAGUAUUAU